AGAGUUUGAUCAUGGCUCAGAUUGAACGCUAGCGGCACGCCUUACACAUGCAAGUCGAACGGCAGCACGGGGGCAACCCUGGUGGCGAGUGGCGAACGGGUGAGUAAUGCAUCGGAACGUGCCCAUCGGUGGGGGAUAACUGCGCGAAAGCGUUGCUAAUACCGCAUACGACCUACGGGUGAAAGCAGGGACCGCAAGGCCUUGCGUCGAUGGAGCGGCCGAUGCCGGAUUAGCUAGUUGGUGAGGUAAAGGCCCACCAAGGCAACGAUCCGUAGCUGGUCUGAGAGGACGAUCAGCUACACUGGGACUGAGACACGGCCCAGACUCCUACGGGACGCAGCAG
rnacentral:rRNA from 1 species